GAUGAACGCUGGCGGCAUGCCUUACACAUGCAAGUCGAACGGCAGCAUGGAGAGCUUGCUCUCUGAUGGCGAGUGGCGAACGGGUGAGUAAUGCAUCGGAACGUACCGUGUAAUGGGGGAUAACGUAGCGAAAGUUACGCUAAUACCGCAUACGACCUGAGGGUGAAAGCAGGGGAUCGCAAGACCUUGCGUUAUACGAGCGGCCGAUGUCAGAUUAGCUAGUUGGUGAGGUAAAGGCUCACCAAGGCGACGAUCUGUAGCGGGUCUGAGAGGAUGAUCCGACACACUGGGACUGAGCCACGGCCCAGACUCCUACGGGAGGCAGCAGUGGAGAAUUUUGGACAAUGGGGGCAACCCUGAUCCAGCCAUGCCGCGUGAGUGAAGAAGGCCUUCGGGUUGUAAAGCUCUUUCGGCCGGGAAGAAAUCGCACAGGCUAAUACUCUGUGUGGAUGACGGUACCGGCAUAAGAAGCACCGGCUAACUACGUGCCAGCAGCCGCCGUAA
rnacentral:rRNA from 1 species